rnacentral:rRNA from 1 species
CCUACGGGAGGCAGCAGUAGGGAAUAUUGCUCAAUGGGGGAAACCCUGAAGCAGCAACGCCGCGUGGAGGAUGAAGGUUUUCGGAUUGUAAAGUCCUUUUGUUAGAGAAGAUAAUGACGGUAUCUAACGAAUAAGCACCGACUAACUCCGUGCCAGCCGCCGCGGUAAUACGGAGGGUGCAAGCGUUACUCGGAAUCACUGGGCGUAAAGAGCGCGUAGGCGGGAUAGCAAGUCAGAGGUGAAAUCCUAUGGCUUAACCAUAGAACUGCAUUUGAAACUGUUAUUCUAGAGUAUGGGAGAGGUAGGUGGAAGUCGUGGUGUAGAGGUAAAAUCCGUAGAGAUCAAGAGGAAUACUCAUUGCGAAGGCGACCUGCUGGAACAUAACUGACGCUGAUGCGCGAAAGCGUGGGGAGCAAACAGGAUUAGAUACCCGUGUAGUC